GGGGUUAUGGCUCAGUGGUAGAGCACUUGCCUAGCAUGUGUGAGGCCCUGGGUUCAAUCCCCAGCACCA
rnacentral:tRNA from 1 species